GUUGUGACCAGUCGCUGGUCACAUUGGGUUUCUGCUAUGUUUUGAUAUGUUAAAAGGAUGAUGGAAAAUGGAUGCUAUUUGAAGAAGACUAUUCACGAGUGAACUAUAUCUCUUCAUAUAUUGAAAGCACCUGCAAUUGUGCUUUGGAGG